rnacentral:rRNA from 1 species
AGCGAACGCUGGCGGCAGGCUUAACACAUGCAAGUCGAACGGGCGUAGCAAUACGUCAGUGGCAGACGGGUGAGUAACGCGUGGGAACGUACCUUUUGGUUCGGAACAACCCAGGGAAACUUGGGCUAAUACCGGAUAAGCCCUUACGGGGAAAGAUUUAUCGCCGAAAGAUCGGCCCGCGUCUGAUUAGCUAGUUGGUGAGGUAACGGCUCACCAAGGCGACGAUCAGUAGCUGGUCUGAGAGGAUGAUCAGCCACAUUGGGACUGAGACACGGCCCAAACUCCUACGGGAGGCAGCAGUGGGGAAUAUUGGACAAUGGGCGCAAGCCUGAUCCAGCCAUGCCGCGUGAGUGAUGAGGGCCCUAGGGUUGUAAAGCUCUUUUGUGCGGGAAGAUAAUGACGGUACCGCAAGAAUAAGCCCCGGCUAACUUCGUGCCAGCAGCCGCCGUAAU